CCUACGGGAGGCAGCAGUGGGGAAUAUUGCGCAAUGGGCGAAAGCCUGACGCAGCGACGCCGCGUGAGGGAUGAAGGUCUUCGGAUCGUAAACCUCUGUCAGCAUGGAAGAACGGUCACUGUGCUAAUCAGCAGUGAAUUGACGGUACCUGCAAAGGAAGCACCGGCUAACUCCGUGCCAGCAGCCGCGGUAAUACGGAGGGUGCGAGCGUUAAUCGGAAUUACUGGGCGUAAAGCGCUCGUAGGCGGUAUGUCAAGUCAAGGGUGAAAUCCCCGCGCUCAACGUGGGAACUGCCUUUGAAACUGGCAAACUGGAGUGUGUGAGAGGAUAGUGGAAUUCCAGGUGUAGGAGUGAAAGCCGUAGAUAUCUGGAGGAACAUCAGUGGCGAAGGCGACUAUCUGGCACAUAACUGACGCUGAGGAGCGAAAGCGUGGGUAGCAAACAGGAUUAGAUACCCCGGUAGUC
rnacentral:rRNA from 1 species